rnacentral:rRNA from 1 species
CCUACGGUGUGCAGCAGUGAGGAAUAUUGGUCAAUGGGCGCGAGCCUGAACCAGCCAAGUAGCGUGAAGGAUGACUGCCCUACGGGUUGUAAACUUCUUUUAUAAAGGAAUAAAGUGAGGCACGUGUGCCUUUUUGUCUGUACUUUAUGAAUACGGAUCGGCUAACUCCGUGCCAGCAGCCGCUGUAAUACGUAGGAUCCGAGCGUUAUCCGGAUUUAUUGGGUUUAAAGGGAGCGUAGAUGGGUUGUUAAGUCAGUUGUGAAAGUGUGCGGCUCAACCGUAAAAUUGCAAUUUAUACUGGCAGUCUUGAGUACAGUUGAGGUAGGCGGAAUUCGUGGUGUAGCGGUGAAAUGCUUAGAUAUCACGAAGAACUCCGAUUGCGAAGGCAGCUUACUAAACUGCCACUGACAUUGAUGCUCGAAAGUGUGGGUAUCAAACAGGAUUAGAUACCCCGGUAGUC